ACUCCUACGGGAGGCAGCAGUGGGGAAUCUUGGACAAUGGGGGCAACCCUGAUCCAGCCAUGCCGCGUGAGUGAUGAAGGCCCUAGGGUCGUAAAGCUCUUUCGCCUGUGAUGAUAAUGACAGUAGCAGGUAAAGAAACCCCGGCUAACUCCGUGCCAGCAGCCGCGGUAAUACGGAGGGGGUUAGCGUUGUUCGGAAUUACUGGGGCGUAAAGCGCACGUAGGCGGACCGAAAAGUUGGGGGUGAAAUCCCGGGGCUCAACCCCGGAACUGCCUCCAAAACUGCCGGUCUAGAGUUCGAGAGAGGUGAGUGGAAUUCCGAGUGUAGAGGUGAAAUUCGUAGAUAUUCGGAGGAACACCAGUGGCGAAGGCGGCUCACUGGCUCGAUACUGACGCUGAGGUGCGAAAGUGUGGGGAGCAAACAGGAUUAGAUACCCUGGUAGCGACUGA
rnacentral:rRNA from 1 species